GACGAACGCUGGCGGCGUGCUUAACACAUGCAAGUCGAGCGGAGCGGCGAACGGGUGAGUAACGCGUGAGUAACUGCCCCCCUCUCUGGGAUAACAGUUGGAAACGGCUGCUAAUACCUGAUAGUUGGGGAUGACUCGCGGCCUAUCAGCUUGUUGGUGGGGUAGUGGCCUACCAAGGCGACGACGGGUAGCCGGCCUGAGAGGGCGACCGGCACCCUUGGGCUGAGAUACGGACCAAAAUCCUACGGUAGGCAGUAGUGGGGAAUAUUGCGCAAUGGGGGGACCCCUGAUGCAGCAACGACGAGUGCGGGAUGACGGCUUUCGGGUUGUAAACUGCUUUCAGCCAUGACGCGGUAGUGGCAGAGGAAGCAACGGCUAACUACGUGCCAGCAGCCGCAGUAAUAC
rnacentral:rRNA from 1 species